CAAGGGAUAAUGCCUUAGUCCUGCUACGUAUCCGACCCUAAAAAUUAGUUGCUAACUCCCUCGGGGGUGGACUCUAAGGAGACUGCCUUCGAGAGGCUUAGGGAGAUGAGGACCACGUCCAGGUAUCAUGGCCCUUUUGGCUCGGGCUACACACGUGCUACAAUGCGGCGUACAAAGGGUUGCGAUACCUUGAGGUGGACCUAAUCUCUUAAAGCGUUUCUCAGGUCGGAUUGUUAUCUGCCCCUCCCGACCUGAAGCUGGAAACACUAGGAAUCGCGGAUCAGCAAUGCUCUUGUGAAAACGUUCCCGGGACUUGUACACACCCCCCCUAAAAAA
rnacentral:rRNA from 1 species